AUACUUACCUGGCGGGGAAGACAACUUAAUCAAGAAGGCGUUUCUUCGAGGGUGAGGCCUUUCCAUUGCAGUUUGGCUGGGCUGACUCCUGCGAUUACCCCCAACUUGGGUAGCUCGACUGUACAAUUUCUGGUAGUAGGGACCUGUGUUUGCGCUAGUCUCAC